rnacentral:misc_RNA from 1 species
GAUGAAGAACGCAGCGCAAUGCGAUACUUGGUGUGAAUUGCAGAAUCCCGUGAACCAUCGAGUCUUUGAACGCAAGUUGCGCCCGAAGCCAUUAGGCCGAGGGCACGCCUGCCUGGGCGUCACACGUCGUUGCCCCCCCAUCUACUCCUUCGGGAUUGCGGGGGGCGGAUGAUGGCCUCUCGUGCGCCUCGUCGCGCGGUUGGCCUAAAUGCCAAGUCCUCGGCGACGCACGCCACGACAAUCGGUGGUUGCGAAACCUCGGUUGCCUGUCGUGUGCGGUCGUCGCGCAUCGAGGGCUCGAAAAAAUUGCCGGGCUUCGGCUCGACUUUCAACGCGACCCCAGGUCAGGCGGGGUUACCCGCUGAAUUUAAGCAUAUCAAUAAGCGGAGGA